rnacentral:sRNA from 1 species
CUUUAAGUAGAGCCUCAUAACGCUUUAACAAAGGGCCCCAUUUCAGUCUCAGGCAAAUCUCAGUUUGACUUUGAAGAGCCACACCUAGGCCAGGUAAUGAAAAGCUGGGGGCUGUAGGCCAUGAGCAGAUGAGGUUUAGCAGACCUUCUAAUCAAUUCCAGGCUGGAGACACAGCACUUCACGUUGCUGCUGCCCUAAAUCACAAGAAGGUGGCCAAAAUCUUACUGGAAGCCGGAGCAGAUACGACCAUUGUUAACAAUGCAGGCCAGACUCCGCUGGAGACUGCCCGCUACCACAAUAACCCGGAAGUUGCUCUUCUCCUUACUAAAGCUCCCCAGGUCUUGCGCUUCAGUCGUGGGCGAAGCCUGAGGAAAAAGAGAGAGAGGCUCAAGGAAGAGAGGAGAGCCCAGUCUGUGCCAAGAGAUGAGGUGGCCCAAAGCAAGGGCAGUGUCUCAGCAGGAGACACACCCAGCAGUGAACAGGCUGUGGCCAGAAAAGAAGAAGCCAGAGAAGAGUUCCUGUCAGCCUCCCCAGAACCCAGAGCAAA